rnacentral:rRNA from 1 species
CAGGCUUAACACAUGCAAGUCGAGGGGCAGCAUGGUCUUAGCUUGCUAAGGCUGAUGGCGACCGGCGCACGGGUGAGUAACACGUAUCCAACCUGCCGUCUACUCUUGGCCAGCCUUCUGAAAGGAAGAUUAAUCCAGGAUGGCAUCAUGAGUUCACAUGUCCGCAUGAUUAAAGGUAUUUUCCGGUAGACGAUGGGGAUGCGUUCCAUUAGAUAGUAGGCGGGGUAACGGCCCACCUAGUCAACGAUGGAUAGGGGUUCUGAGAGGAAGGUCCCCCACAUUGGAACUGAGACACGGUCCAAACUCCUACGGGAGGCAGCAGUGAGGAAUAUUGGUCAAUGGGCGAUGGCCUGAACCAGCCAAGUAGCGUGAAGGAUGACUGCCCUAUGGGUUGUAAACUUCUUUUAUAAAGGAAUAAAGUCGGGUAUGCAUACCCGUUUGCAUGUACUUUAUGAAUAAGGAUCGGCUAACCCCGUGCCAGCAGCCGCGGUAAUACGGAGGAUCCGAGCGUUAUCCGGAUUUAUUGGGUUUAAAGGGAGCGUAGAUGGAUGUUUAAGUCAGUUGUGAAAGUUUGCGGCUCAACCGUAAAAUUGCAGUUGAUACUGGAUGUCUUGAGUGCAGUUGAGGCAGGCGGAAUUCGUGGUGUAGCGGUGAAAUGCUUAGAUAUCACGAAGAACUCCGAUUGCGAAGGCGGCCUGCUAAGC